rnacentral:rRNA from 1 species
CUGAGGUUACUGCUAUCGAGAUUCGACUAAGCCAUGCGAGUUGAAUGUUCUUCGUGAACAUGGCGGACUGCUCAGUAACACGUGGACAACCUACCCUUGGGUCCGGCAUAAUCCUGGGAAACUGGGAAUAAUUCCGGAUAGGUCACCGAUGCUGGAAUGCGCGGUGGCCGAAAGCUCCGGCGCCCGAGGAUGGGUCUGCGGCCUAUCAGGGUUGUAGUGGGUGUAACGUACCUACUAGCCUACGACGGGUACGGGUUGUGAGAGCAAGAGCCCGGAGAUGGAUUCUGAGACACGAAUCCAGGCCCUACGGGGUGCAGCAGGCGCGAAAACUUUACAAUGCGGGAAACCGUGAUAAGGGGAUCUCGAGUGCCAGCAUAUAAUGUUGGCUGUCCAGAUGCCUAAAAAGCAUCUGUUAGCAAGGGCCGGGCAAGACCGGUGCCAGCCGCCGCGGUAACACCGGCGGCCCGAGUGGUAACCGCUAUUAUUGGGUCUAAAGGGUCUGUAGCCGGCCAGGUAAGUCCCUUGGGAAAUCUGGCAGCUCAACUGUCAGGCUGCUAGGGGAUACUGUUUGGCUUGGGACCGGGAGAGGUGAGAGGUACCUUGGGGGUAGGGGUGAAAUCUUGUGAUCCUCGAGGGACCACCAGUGGCGAAGGCGUCUCACCAGAACGGGUCCGACGGUAAGGGACGAAAGCUAGGGGCACGAACCGGAUUAGAUACCCGGGUAGUCCUAGCCGUAAACGAUGCUCGCUAGGUGUCAGUCACGGUGCGACCGUGAUUGGUGCCGUAGGGAAGCCGUGAAGCGAGCCACCUGGGAAGUAUGGCCGCAAGGCUGAAACUUAAAGGAAUUGGCGGGGGAGCACUACMAUCGGRWSGAGCCUGCGGUUUAAUUG